rnacentral:tRNA from 1 species
UCCGGCGUGGUGUAAUUGGCAGCACAAGGGUUUUUGGUGCCCUUAGACAAGGUUCGAGUCCUUGCGCCGGAGCCA